UCACUCUCAGUCAAAAAAAAUAAUGGAAGAUAGAAAUCUCAAGCAGUAAGAGAAAAAUAUUCGAUCAAUGAAGAAGAUGAGAAGAGCGGAGAGGUUCGGCUAGCAAAGAAGAGAAGAGGGGAAAGGAAAGAGAAAUUCAGCCACAAGAAGAGAAAACUAAAAGAAAGAAGAAAAGAAAAGAUGAGGGAGAAGAGUAUAUUCAGCCAAAAAAAAAGAAAAAUAGGUAAAAAAGAAAAGAGCAAUCAAAAGAAAACGAACCCGAGAUGUAACUUCCAGAACUAGGCAAAAUUUGGCACCAAAACUAAAACAUGAAACCCGAAACUCACCAAAAUCACAGCAAACUAAGAGAGAAACUCAAAAAAAGACCAAAACCGAAAACCUCUACUGUUAAGUGAUUAAAUUCGGCACAAACACCCUCCCCCAGCCAAAUUCUCCAUGCCUCAAUUACCCCAAACGGC
rnacentral:lncRNA from 1 species